GAUGAACGCUAGCGGCAGGCUUAACACAUGCAAGUCGAGGGGUAUAGUUCUUCGGAGCUAGAGACCGGCGCACGGGUGCGUAACGCGUAUGCAAUCUACCUUUUGCAGAGGGAUAGCCCAGAGAAAUUUGGAUUAAUACCUCAUGGUAUGUGAGAAUGGCAUCAUUUUCACAUUAAAGUCACAACGGAAAAAGAGUAGCAUGCGUCCCAUUAGCUAGUUGGUAAGGUAACGGCUUACCAAGGCAACGAUGGGUAGGGGUCCUGAGAGGGAGAUCCCCCACACUGGUACUGAGACACGGACCAGACUCCUACGGGAGGCAGCAGUGAGGAAUAUUGGACAAUGGGCGCAAGCCUGAUCCAGCCAUGCCGCGUGCAGGAUGACGGUCCUAUGGAUUGUAAACUGCUUUUGUACAGGAAGAAACACUGGUUCGUGAACCAGCUUGACGGUACUGUAAGAAUAAGGAUCGGCUAACUCCGUGCCAGCCGCCGCAGUAAUAC
rnacentral:rRNA from 1 species